GUCCACAUCCACGUCCACGUUCUCAUCCACGACCACGUCCUCGUCCAUGACCACGACCACGUCCACGACCACAUCCCAAGAGACUGGUUGAAAGCUCUACUCUGAAGAGACUACCAAGCUGUGGCUAACGUGCUAAUGUGCUAAAAAAUAAUUGUUGUAUUGUCUUUCCAGACUGGUGGUGGUUGUACGUCCUUGUGGCUGUAGUUGUGGUUGCAGCGGUGGAACUUUGUUGUAUUUUAGUAUUUGUAGUGAUGAAGUGGAAGAGAACUCAAGGUAAGAACAACAAAAACGUGACACUUUUUCAUUUUAAAAAUUUGAGUUCGAAUAAACGUCCAGGUUUUUUUGUUUUUUUUCAGGGAACAAAACGCAGACAAAUGUUGAUGACUCCGAUCCUGAGGAAGGUGUGGCCUACACCUCCAUCAGCUUCACCCAGAAGAACAGUGCUAACGCCCAGGCUCUGAGAAAACACAAAGAUGAUGAUGCGACCUACUCUUCUGUCGACUACAGAAGAGUAGAAACUGAAUAUCCAGAAACUGUGUUUUCCCCCGACCCACCUGGACCCCUGAACAUCCAUGUGCUCC